rnacentral:rRNA from 1 species
AUUGAACGCUGGCGGCAUGCCUUACACAUGCAAGUCGAACGGUAACAGGUCUUCGGAUGCUGACGAGCGGCGAACGGGUGAGUAAUACAUCGGAACGUGCCCGAUCGUGGGGGAUAACGGAGCGAAAGCUGUGCUAAUACCGCAUACGAUCUACGGAUGAAAGCAGGGGACCGCAAGGCCUUGCGCGGACGGAGCGGCCGAUGGCAGAUUAGGUAGUUGGUGGGAUAAAAGCUUACCAAGCCGACGAUCUGUAGCUGGUCUGAGAGGACGACCAGCCACACUGGGACUGAGACACGGCCCAGACUCCUACGGGAGGCAGCAGUGGGGAAUUUUGGACAAUGGGCGCAAGCCUGAUCCAGCCAUGCCGCGUGCAGGAUGAAGGCCUUCGGGUUGUAAACUGCUUUUGUACGGAACGAAAAGACUCUGGUUAAUACCUGGGGUCCAUGACGGUACCGUAAGAAUAAGCACCGGCUAACUACGUGCCAGCCGCCGCCGUAAAAC